GGGCCUGUAGCUCAGCUAGGUAGAGCAUCUGGCUUUUAACCAGGUGGCCAGGGGUUCGAAUCCCCUCAGGCCCG
rnacentral:tRNA from 1 species